rnacentral:rRNA from 1 species
UGGGGAACUUUGCACAAUGGGGGAAACCCUGAUGCAGCGACGCCGCGUGAUUUAGAAGGCCUUCGGGUUGUAAAAAUCUUUUCUAUGGGAAGAAAAUGACAGUACCAUAGGAAUAAGGACCGGCUAAUUACGUGCCAGCAGCCGCGGUAAUACGUAAGGUCCGAGCGUUGUCCGGAAUCAUUGGGCGUAAAGGGUACGUAGGCGGGUAAGCAAGUUAGAAGUGAAAUCCUGUAGCUCAACUACAGUAAGCUUUUAAAACUGCUCAUCUUGAGAUAUGGAAGGGAAAGUGGAAUUCCUAGUGUAGCGGUGAAAUGCGCAGAUAUUAGGAGGAAUACCGGUGGCGAAGGCGACUUUCUGGCCAUAAUCUGACGCUGAGGUACGAAAGCGUGGGUAGCAAACAGG